rnacentral:lncRNA from 1 species
GAACAUGCAUAACAGGCAACCUCAGUAGGAUAUCUAAUUACUUUUCUUCUUCUCAAAACAAGCUCUAUCGUGAUGCUUCCAAAUAGCCAACAUAAUGCCACAGACCCCACCAUCUGAGUAUUGUGGCUCCCCAGUCAGGCUGCAAGUGGAGGUGGGAUUAAAUGGGACUAACCAUCCCAUCCCACUUAAUCUCCUUUAAUGGGCUCCCAUUGGAUAAGGAAAAAAAAUAAGUGGGCUAGCCCUCUAAUCCCGUUGGGAUCCCAACUCCCCGAUGUAUUAGUGGGAACGGGAACUGCCUCCCCCAACUAAACAAACGUGGAUUCACUUCGACGGUGUGCUCAACCUCUACAGCGACAUCUCCUUCGUGUCGCCCGCCGCCCUCCGCUUCGGCGGCCGCUUCUCCUACUGCCUCGUCGAACACCUCUCCCGCCGCCCCAGCCUCCGCCUCCACCUGCUGCCAUCCCAUCCCAGCUGCUGCUUGGAACACCUCUCCCGCCUCUCCCGCCGCCCACUUCAGGACGCCAUCACUCCCCUCGCGCGCCAGAUGCCGCCGCUGCUCGGCGGCCGCUUCUCCUACUGCCUCGACCGUCUCCAUCGCCGGGGAGUUCCUCAAGAUACCGCGCUCCGUCUGGGACGUGGAGACGGAGGCGACGUCAUCCUCAACUCUGGCAUCAUCUUCACGGUGCUGGCCAAACCAGCCGAGCAAGGAGCUCGCCGGGACAGAGAGUUUUGAGCACGACGUUUGUUUUUCCUGAUGGCCUGUGCCUAUGCGUAUCAGUGGAUUGUUCAAGCGCAAAAUUAUCUAUCGAGCUGCUGUGGAGAUUUCUUUCAUCCAUGGGUGAUGGCCGUCAUGGGUUUGUGAAUUUGUCCCUAUACAACGCAUUUUAGGUGGGAUCCCACUUAUGCCCGCUUAAACCACCAAUUUUCUAGUGGGCUCUCCCCUAAUGCCCACCAAGCAACGGUGGGACUGGGUGGGAUCGUGGUGGGAUGCCCACCUACAGUCCCACCUGCAGCCUGAGUCCCCAGGAAUAAACUUUGGAAUCCACCAAAACUAUUGGAAAAACACCCUGGCUUGCCUUCAGCGCCACCUCGCAUGUCAUAGUCCAAACAACUG